UACGGGGGGGGCAAGGCGUUGUUCGGAAUUACUGGGCGUAAAGCGUGCGCAGGCGGUUUUGUAAGUUCUGUCGUGAAAUCCCCGGGCUCAACCUGGGAAUUGGCGAUGGAGACUAGCAAGGCUAGGAAUCUGGCAGAUGGGGGGUAGAAUUCCGGACGUGAUGAGCAGUGAAAUGACGUAGAGAUAGUGGGAGGAACACCGAUGGCGCAAGGCAG
rnacentral:rRNA from 1 species